AUGAUCCUCAAUGUCAUCAAGUUUUAUGAAUCCACCUGCUACGGAGGCUGCUGGGAUCUCACAAGACAGUGCGGCUGGUCUGGCUGGUACAACAAAGUGCUUGGUCCUGGCACAAUUCUCAGGGUUACAGAUAAAAGUGCCAAUGAAGACACUUCCCCCAAGCCCACAGUUUUUCUUCCUUCGAUUUCUGAAAUAAAAAUCCAUAAGGCUGGAACAUAUCUUUGUCUUCUCGAGGAUUUUUUUCCUGAAAUUAUCAAGGUAGAUUGGAAAGAAAAGAAUGACCAAACAGUUCUGCAAUCCCAGCAGGGAAACACUAUGAAGACUAAGGACACAUACAUGAAAUUCAGCUGGCUGACCGUGACUGGAGCGUCUAUGGAUAAAGAACACAAAUGUAUUGUCAACCACGAGAGUGAUAGAGGAGGGAUUAAUCAAGAGAUUCUUUUUCCUUCGAUAAAUGAAGAUUUGGUAGCGAGGAUGGAAUCUGAUGUUGACUCCGAAGGGCAUUCAGAGGCAAAGCAAAACACAGAGGUGGUAACUGUGAGCCCUCUAAGUUCACGAUCUUUCCCACCUGGCGCAAGCACUGUGGAACUCGUUGCUCUUAACUCCACAGAAGCUUCCCUGGAUGAUGAAUAUGACCCCCUGCAGCUGCAGCUCAUGAACACCUCUGCCUACUAUACCUACCUCCUCCUCCUCCUGAAGAGUCUGACGUACUCCAUCAUCAUCACCAUCUAUCUGCUUGGGAGAUCAGUGCUCAAUGCUGUAUCCUUGAACUCUUCUUUAUCCAGAUGAUUCCCUGGAAGCACACAUCCUUGCUACCUGAAUUUCGUACUGUUUAUCAUAGUAAACACAAUAAAAGCAAUCAAAAUUCUA